UCAUCUCAAUUCAACAGCUUUGCGGCUGACUUGAAUUGGAUUUGGGAGUCUGCCGGUCCCCCAUCACGGGUCGGCUCUCCUUGAAUGCAUGAGUGAGCAUCUGGCUCGCGUCGCUAGUGUGAUAGUCUUUCAUCAUUGGCGAUGCUUGCCUAAUGGGCUUGCUUUCGAACCGUCUUCUCAUCGGAGACAACUUCAUUGACU
rnacentral:misc_RNA from 1 species